UACGUAGGUGGCAAGCGUUGUCCGGAUUUACUGGGCGUAAAGCGUGCGCAGGCGGUUGUGCAAGACAGAUGUGAAAUCCCCGGGCUCAACCUGGGAAUUGCAUUGUGACUGCACGGCUAGAGUGUGUCAGAGGGGGGUAGAAUUCCACGUGUAGCAGUGAAAUGCGUAGAGAUGUGGAGGAACACCGAUGGCGAAGGCAGCCCCCUGGGUCAAGAUUGACGCUCAUGCACGAAAGCGUGGGGAGCAAACAGG
rnacentral:rRNA from 1 species